CGGCGAGUGAAGCGGCAACAGCUCAAAUUUGAAAUCUGGCCCCCAGGGCCCGAGUUGUAAUUUGCAGAGGAUGCUUUUGGCGCGGUGCCUUCCGAGUUCCCUGGAACGGGACGCCAUAGAGGGUGAGAGCCCCGUCUGGUCGGACGCCUAGCCUGUGUAAAGCUCCUUCGACGAGUCGAGUAGUUUGGGAAUGCUGCUCUAAAUGGGAGGUAUAUGUCUUCUAAAGCUAAAUACCGGCCAGAGACCGAUAGCGCACAAGUAGAGUGAUCGAAAGAUGAAAAGCACUUUGAAAAGAGGGUUAAAUAGUACGUGAAAUUGUUGAAAGGGAAGCGCUUGUGACCAGACUUGGGCCCGGUGGAUCAUCCAGCGUUCUCGCUGGUGCACUCCGCCGGGUUCAGGCCAGCAUCAGUUCGCCGCGGGGGAAAAAGGCUUCGGGAACGUGGCUCCUACGGGAGUGUUAUAGCCCGUUGCAUAAUACCCUGGGGCGGACUGAGGUUCGCGCUCCGCA
rnacentral:rRNA from 1 species